CAGACGAACGCUGGCGGCGUGCUUAACACAUGCAAGUCGAACGCGAAGGGACUCGGUCCUGAGUAAAGUGGCGGCACGGGUGAGUAACGCGUAGAUAACCUGUCUUCAUGGUCUGGAAUAAUACGCCGAAAGGGGUACUAAUACCGGAUAUUCUUGCUUUUCAUAAGUUAUGGCAAGCAAAGGUGGCCUCUGCAUAUGCUACUGCAUGAAGAGGGGUCUGCGUACCAUUAGCUAGUAGGUGGGGUAAUGGCCUACCUAGGCGACGAUGGUUAGCGGGUCUGAGAGGAUGAUCCGCCACACUGGCACUGGAACACGGGCCAGACUCCUACGGGAGGCAGCAGUGAGGAAUAUUGCGCAAUGGGGGAAACCCUGACGCAGCGACGGCCGCGUGAGUGAAGGAAGGCCUUCGGGUCGUAAAGCUCUGUCAAGAGGAAAGAAGUGUACAAUGGCUAAUACCUGUUGUAUUUGACGGUACCUCUAAAGGAAGCACCGGCUAACUCCGUGCCAGCAGCCGC
rnacentral:rRNA from 1 species